UGGGGGAUUUUGCACAAUGGGCGCAAGCCUGAUGCAGCGACGCCGCGUGAGGGAUGAAGGCCUUCGGGUUGUAAACCUCUUUUUCUGGGUUGAAAGGCCAUGCUUUGGGUGUGGUUGAUUUGAACUUGUAAAGAAGUACCGGCUAACUACGUGCCAGCAGCCGCGGUAAUACGUAGGGUACUAGCGUUGUCCGGAUUUAUUGGGCGUAAAGGGCUUGUAGGUGGUUUUUCGCGUCUGUCGUGAAAUCCUGUGGCUUAACGAAGGGCUUGCGGUGGGGACGGGCAGGGUGGAGUGCGGUAGGGGAGAGUGGAAUUCCUGGUGUAGCGGUGGAAGGCGCAGAUAUCAGGAGGAACACCGGUGGCGAAGGCGGGUCUCUGGGCCGUUACUGACACUGAGGAGCGAAAGCGUGGGGAGCGAGCAGG
rnacentral:rRNA from 1 species